ensembl:snoRNA
UAGAUAGACGAGGACCACUGUGACGUAUGAGUCAUGGAUGAUGAAUAUGUGUCUGGAUGGCUCUGGAGUUCAGUGCCAUGUCAGU